AUUGAACGCUGGCGGCAGGCCUAACACAUGCAAGUCGAGCGAGCGGCGGACGGGUGAGUAAUGCAUAGGAAGUUGCCCAGUAGAGGGGGAUACCAGUUGGAAACGACUGUUAAUACCGCAUACUACUGGAUACGCCUAUGUGGGAUUAGCUAGUUGGUGAGGUAAUGGCUCACCAAGGCGACGAUCCCUAGCUGGUCUUAGAGGAUGAUCAGCCACACUGGGACUGAGAAACGGCCAAGACUCCUACGGGAGGCAGGAGUGGGGAAUAUUGCACAAUGGGCGAAAGCCUGAUGCAGCCAUGCCGCGUGUAUGAAGAAGGCCUUCGGGUUGUAAAGUACUUUCAGUUGUGAGGCGGUAGCAACAGAAGAAGCACCGGCUAACUCCGUGCCAGCAGCCGCGGUAAUUC
rnacentral:rRNA from 1 species